CUUAUCCUUCUCCAGAGCUGUGCCACCCACAGUUGUGGGGGCCUUUACAUGUUCAGCUGGGGUAGACUCUGCUAUGCAGUGAUCAGGUCAUAUGUUAAUGUUAGGAAAUUCAGGGUUCCACCCUGCAUGGCUUUCUCAGAUCCCAUGCUGGUCCACUGCUUCCUUGUCAUGUUUGGUCCAUGAGGAACUUGUUCAAGGCUCCCUGCACCAAUCUGUGACAUCUACCACACAUGCAACACUCUCUGGGUUUUUGAGUUUUUGCCAGGUGACUUCAGGGUCCCGUGCACUCUGAAGAACUGAGGGUGUUGCCUUGAUCUCCUUGCUAAGGAUAUAUCCUUACUCUGAGGUGAAUCAUUUUCCCUUAAUGCUUCUUGAAAGCUAUGCUGUUUAUGUUCAUGAACUCUCUAAGUUGUCCAUUGGGGUUUGGUUUCUGAAAUUCCAAAGUAAGAAAAACAUCCAAACUACUCCUUAGCCUGCCUCCACUGAAGUAAUGAGUCACAGAGCCUGUUGUCAUCUUUAAAUGGAGGGAAGAGAAAGGACAAAUAUAUUGAGAAAAAAAAUUAACAUCUUAAAUAACUUUAGUUGAUUAAUGACUAAAAAAAUAAUAGAAAGCAUAUGAGAAUGACCUUUUCUUUCUGGAUGUGUUUUUGUUUGUUUUUUUGGUUGUUGUUUGUUUGUUUUUGGUAAGUGUAUUUUAACCCUGUGUAAUUGUAACAUGUAGAUUUUUGUAAGACCUGUGGAGGAAGCCACUUGGAGUGUUUGAGGAAGGGGGAAGGAUUGACAACCUUAUCAAAGAAGGCUAGACCAUGCCCAUCGUCUCUGCCUUACAAAUUAACAGAAAAUUAAAAGUGUUCUUCCCAGAGAGGAAGUCAGUGGCAGUGCCAGAGGAAGGGCAUGUAAUAGAAGAUUCAUGUGCCUAUUUCUAUGAAGUUUGUAUGGAAAUUUAUAAUCUACAAGAGCAGCUAAAGCUGAAGUACCACAAAAACCUUAAGGGACUGGCCAUAGCUGAAGCGUAUGUUGAAAUAUGGUGGAUACAGAAAGCAAACGGAGCCUUUAAUGGAAAUGUCAAGGACAGAUGCCCUGAUUUGCGGAUAAUGAUUUGCAAAUGAACUGCUUUUCUAAUGAGCAACUCCAGUAUAGCCAAGGUGUUUUAGCAACUGCACCUGAGAUUCAUUUAUUUAAUGAUUCUCCCAAGAAAUACUUGUGAGACUUGUUCAUCUUUAAAUAAAAUAUGUAGCUAACUUGAGAGUGAAAUAGGA
rnacentral:lncRNA from 1 species